rnacentral:rRNA from 1 species
AUUGAACGCUGGCGGCAGGCUUAACACAUGCAAGUCGAACGAGUGGCGGACGGGUGAGUAAUGCUUGGGAAUCUAGCUUAUGGAGGGGGAUAACUACGGGAAACUGUAGCUAAUACCGCGUACCAUAGGAUGAGCCCAAGUGGGAUUAGGUAGUUGGUGAGGUAAAGGCUCACCAAGCCGACGAUCUCUAGCUGGUCUGAGAGGAUUACCAGCAACACGGGAAUGGAGACACGGCCCAGACUCGUACGGGAGGCAGCAGUGGGGAAUAUUGCGCAAGGGGGGAGACCUGACGCAGCCAUGCCGCGUGAAUUAAGAAGGCCUUCGGGUUGUAAAGUUCGUUCGGUAGCGAGGCGUUAACUACAGAAGAAGCACCGGCUAACUCCGUGCCAGCCGCCGCGGUAAUUC